UGGCGGCAGGCUUAACACAUGCAAGUCGAGCGGUAGCACAGGGGAGCUUGCUCCCUGGGUGACGAGCGGCGGACGGGUGAGUAAUGUCUGGGAAACUGCCUGAUGGAGGGGGAUAACUACUGGAAACGGUAGCUAAUACCGCAUAACGUCGCAAGACCAAAGAGGGGGACCUUCGGGCCUCUUGCCAUCAGAUGUGCCCAGAUGGGAUUAGCUAGUAGGUGGGGUAAUGGCUCACCUAGGCGACGAUCCCUAGCUGGUCUGAGAGGAUGACCAGCCACACUGGAACUGAGACACGGUCCAGACUCCUACGGGAGGCAGCAGUGGGGAAUAUUGCACAAUGGGCGCAAGCCUGAUGCAGCCAUGCCGCGUGUGUGAAGAAGGCCUUCGGGUUGUAAAGCACUUUCAGCGAGGAGGAAGGUGGUGAGCUUAAUACGCUCAUC
rnacentral:rRNA from 1 species